CCUACGGGUGGCAGCAGUGGGGAAUAUUGGACAAUGGGCGAAAGCCUGAUCCAGCCAUGCCGCGUGUGUGAAGAAGGCCUUCGGGUUGUAAAGCACUUUCAGUGGGGAAGAAAGCCUUGGGGCUAAUACCCUCGAGGAAGGACAUCACCCACAGAAGAAGCACCGGCUAACUCCGUGCCAGUAGCCGCGGUAAUACGGAGGGUGCGAGCGUUAAUCGGAAUUACUGGGCGUAAAGCGCGCGUAGGCGGUCUGAUAAGCCGGUUGUGAAAGCCCCGGGCUCAACCUGGGAACGGCAUCCGGAACUGUCAGGCUAGAGUGCAGGAGAGGAAGGUAGAAUUCCCGGUGUAGCGGUGAAAUGCGUAGAGAUCGGGAGGAAUACCAGUGGCGAAGGCGGCCUUCUGGACUGACACUGACGCUGAGGUGCGAAAGCGUGGGUAGCAAACAGGAUUAGAUACCCGGGUAGUC
rnacentral:rRNA from 1 species